GAUGANNCUCNAAAUCAGUGGCGGCGUGGCAUGACCCCCGAGCGUAGUGACACUAUUUUUGCUCCGUGGAUUUCGUGCGACGUUGGCCAGAACUGGAUGUCACAGUCCAACUUCUCAAAGGUUGACCUCGGAUCAGGUAGGGAUACCCGCUGAACUUAAGCAUAUCAAUAAGCGGAGGAAAAGAAACCAACAGGGAUUGCCUCAGUAACGGCGAGUGAAGCGGCAACAGCUCAAAUUUGAAAUCCGGCUUCGUGCCCGAGUUGUAAUUUGCAGAGGAUAUUUCGAGGGCGACGUCGGCCUAAGUCCCUUGGAACAGGGCGUCACAGAGGGUGAGAAUCCCGUCUGCGGCCGACGAUCCAUCUCAUGUGAAAUCCCUUCGACGAGUCGAGUUGUUUGGGAAUGCAGCUCAAAAUGGGUGGUAAAUUUCAUCUAAAGCUAAAUACCGGCCAGAGACCGAUAGCGCACAAGUAGAGUGAUCGAAAGAUGAAAAGCACUUUGGAAAGAGAGUUAAAAAGUACGUGAAAUUGUUGAAAGGGAAACGCUUGCCAAUAGACCGAUCGGCGGGCUGCAGUCGGGGAUUUCUUUCCCGGCGUGACGCACCCGUCAUUCGGCCAGCAUCGGUUUCGGUGGCUCGACAAAGAUCGUGGGAACGUGGCUCCUCGGAGUGUUAUAGCCCACGAUGUCAUGGAGCCUACCGGGACCGAGGACCGCGCUUCGGCUAGGAUGCUGGCGUAAUGUUGUUAAGCGACC
rnacentral:rRNA from 1 species